GACGAACCGAGCGAACGUUAUUCGGAAUCACUGGGCUUAAAGGGUGCGUAGGCGGGCUGUCAAGUCUGGGGUGAAAUCCCACGGCUCAACCGUGGAACUGCCUCAGAUACUGAUGGCCUCGAGGAAGGUAGGGGCAUGCGGAACUGUAGGUGGAGCGGUGAAAUGCGUUGAUAUCUACAGGAACUCCGGUGGCGAAAGCGGCGUGCUGGACCUUUUCUGACGCUGAGGCACGAAAGCUAGGGGAGCAAACAGG
rnacentral:rRNA from 1 species